CACCUUUAAUGACAUCACCUUGGACUCUGAGAAACUGUGACAUUUUUCACAAUUUUCUGCCUUUUUUUUUGACCAACAUAUUCAACAAGGGAUCUAAAAAAAUGUAUCAAUCACUAAUUAAAAUACUGUAGUUUCAGCUCUGGAUGCAUGGCAUGUUUUAGUAGCGGUUGCAGUGUUUGGUUCAUGUCUUGUGGGAUGUAUUUAACCCAUGUGUGCCGUGGUGAUUGACUCUAACAUUCCUCUCUGUCUCUCUGCGUCGCCUCCUCCGAUCUCCCGCCAAAAUCAGGCCAUCUCGUCCUUACUGAAGAAAAAGCUGGAGGAGCAUCUAGAGAAGCUCCAUGAAGCUCACUCUGAUCUGCAAAAGAAGAGAGAGGUCAUCGAUGACCUGGAGCCCAAAGUGGACGGCAAGAGUGAGU